ensembl:lncRNA
GCUCCAGCCUUGUCUGUGACUUACUGAAUCUUCAUUUUUACAAGAUUGGCAGGUGUGACCCAUCUGGACAUUAAAGUUCUGUGCUAGUAGAACAUUCUUUUCAGUUCAGUGAAAACCAGCUUUUUUCCUUCUUGUGAAAAAAUUACCAAGAAAAUGUAACAAGUUAUUUGAAAGAUCUGUACUGUUAAUAACACUAAGGAAUAACUAGAGCUGAAAAGGACCCUAGGUAUAUGGUUUUAACCUGUAGUUGAGGUAGGUCAAAGGAAUAGUUUAGCAACACGUUUGUAUUGACUUAUCUGUAAUUAGAAUACAGGUCCCUGGGUUUCCAGUUCAGACCUAUAAUGUGUAAAGCAAAUAGAGACCUGCUGUUAUUCAUAAAUUAAAACUACUGGAAUUCAGUGUGCAAGUUAAUAGGUAAAUAGCUAAUAAUAGUAAUCAAUUUUAUUUAGUAAUAAAUACCAAGUUCAUGAAAGAUCUUCCACAUGAAUUGAUUUUGUUGAAUGAUUUGAAAUUAACACUCUUCAGCCCUGUCUGUAUUACAUCAUGCUUGCAUAUGUGUGUGCUCCCUCAGUCGUGUCCGACUCUGUGUGACCCCGUGGACUGCAGCCUGCCAGGCUUCUCUAUCCAUGGGAUUUCCCAGGCAAAAAUACUGGAGUUGGUUGCCAUUUCCUUCUCCAGGGGAUCUUCCUGACCCAGGGAUCGAAGCUGAGUCUUCUCUCUCUCCUGCAUGGGCCAGUGGAUUCUUUACCACUGAGCCACAUUGAAAGCCCCUAUUACAUCAUUCAGUUCAGUUCAGUCACUCAGUCAUGUUCAACUUUUUGCGACCCCAUGAAUUGCAGCACGCCAGGCCUCCCUGUCCAUCACCAACUGCUGGAGUCUAACUAAACCCAUGUCCAUUGAGUCAGUGAUGCCAUCCAACCAUCUCAUUCUCUGUUGUCCCCUUCUCCUGCCAUCAAUCUUUCCCAGCAUCAGGGUCUUUUCAAAUGAGUCAGUUCUUCGCAGCA